GAUGAACGCUGGCGGCGUGCCUAAUACAUGCAAGUCGAGCGAACAGACGAGGAGCUUGCUCCUCUGACGUUAGCGGCGGACGGGUGAGUAACACGUGGAUAACCUACCUAUAAGACUGGGAUAACUUCGGGAAACCGGAGCUAAUACCGGAUAAUAUAUUGAACCGCAUGGUUCAAUAGUGAAAGACGGUUUUGCUGUCACUUAUAGAUGGAUCCGCGCCGCAUUAGCUAGUUGGUAAGGUAACGGCUUACCAAGGCAACGAUGCGUAGCCGACCUGAGAGGGUGAUCGGCCACACUGGAACUGAGACACGGUCCAGACUCCUACGGGAGGCAGCAGUAGGGAAUCUUCCGCAAUGGGCGAAAGCCUGACGGAGCAACGCCGCGUGAGUGAUGAAGGUCUUCGGAUCGUAAAACUCUGUUAUUAGGGAUGAACAAAUGUGUAAGUAACUAUGCACGUCUGGACGGUACCUAAUCAGAAAGCCACGGCUAACUACGU
rnacentral:rRNA from 1 species